rfam:Felis catus isolate Cinnamon breed Abyssinian chromosome A2, whole genome shotgun sequence.
GCCUGGGUGGCUCAGUGGGUCAAGCGUCUGACUUUGGCUCAGGUCAUGUUCUCGCGGUCCGUGGGUUCGAGCCCCGCAUCGGGCU